rnacentral:rRNA from 1 species
ACUCCUACGGGAGGCAGCAGUGGGGAAUAUUGCACAAUGGGCGCAAGCCUGAUGCAGCCAUGCCGCGUGUGUGAAGAAGGCCUUCGGGUUGUAAAGCACUUUCAGUUGUGAGGAAGGUGGUGUCGUUAAUAGCGGCAUCAUUUGACGUUAGCAACAGAAGAAGCACCGGCUAACUCCGUGCCAGCAGCCGCGGUAAUACGGAGGGUGCGAGCGUUAAUCGGAAUUACUGGGCGUAAAGCGCAUGCAGGUGGUUUGUUAAGUCAGAUGUGAAAGCCCGGGGCUCAACCUCGGAACUGCAUUUGAAACUGGCAGACUAGAGUACUGUAGAGGGGGGUAGAAUUUCAGGUGUAGCGGUGAAAUGCGUAGAGAUCUGAAGGAAUACCGGUGGCGAAAGGCGGCCCCCUGGACAGAUACUGACACUCAGAUGCGAAAGCGUGGGGAGCAAACAGGAUUAGAUACCCUGGUAGCACAGAG